GACUAUAUUCCUUCUUCAAGUUCUGGGGAAAAAUCUGUGUUCUUCACUUUUUCAGGUUCUAGAAGUUACAAGUAGUUCUUCAUUCAUGAACAUUGAUUCCACCAGUGAAGCAUCUUUAGGUAAAACAAUGAACAUUCCAAAAGGUGCAUGAUAAGUUAUUUACAAUACCCACUAAAGGCAAGAAGCAGUAUGAAUGAUGGGCUCCAUUUUUCACAAGAGCAAAUAAGUCACGUUGAUGUUUUAUGACUUACUCAUGGCACAGAUCAGCAGCGACCAAGGAAGCAAGCUGGCAGCCCCAUAACUACUUACAGAUUCCUGAACAUACCAAACUCAACAGCAGGCAUGGUAAUAAAUCACUGAGAGUUAAGAACAA